rnacentral:misc_RNA from 1 species
AGCAGCCGCGGUAAUUCCAGCUCCAAUAGCGUAUAUUAAAGUUGCUGCAGUUAAAAAGCUCGUAGUUGAAUUUCGGGACUAAUAUGUCGGUCGUGCCUCGGUACGUACUGGUUUAUUGGUUUCUCCUUUCUGAAGAACCAUGAUGUCAUUUAUUUGGUGUCGUGGGGAAUCAGGACUGUUACUUUGAAAAAAUUAGAGUGUUUAAAGCAGGCUUACGCUUGAAUACAUUAGCAUGGAAUAAUGAAAUAGGACGUUUGAUUCUAUUUUGUUGGUUUCUAGGAUCGACGUAAUGAUUAAUAGGGAUAGUUGGGGGCAUUAGUAUUCAAUUGUCAGAGGUGAAAUUCUUGGAUUUAUUGAAGACUAACUACUGCGAAAGCAUUUGCCAAGGAUGUUUUCAUUAAUCAAGAACGAAAGUUAGGGGAUCGAAGACGAUCAGAUACCGUCGUAGUCUUAACCAUAAACUAUGCCGACUAGGGAUCGGAUGAUGUUAAUUUUUUAAUGACUCAUUCGGCGCCUUACG